CUAACACAUGCAAGUCGAACGGUUAACAGGAAGAAGCUUGCUUCUUUGCUGACGAGUGGCGGACGGGUGAGUAAUGUCUGGGAAACUGCCUGAUGGAGGGGGAUAACUACUGGAAACGGUAGCUAAUACCGCAUAACGUCGCAAGACCAAAAAGGGGGACCUUCGGGCCUCUUGCCAUCGGAUGUGCCCAGAUGGGAUUAGCUAGUAGGUGGGGUAACGGCUCACCUAGGCGACGAUCCCUAGCUGGUCUGAGAGGAUGACCAGCCACACUGGAACUGAGACACGGUCCAGACUCCUACGGGAGGCAGCAGUGGGGAAUAUUGCACAAUGGGCGCAAGCCUGAUGCAGCCAUGCCGCGUGUAUGAAGAAGGCCUUCGGGUUGUAAAGUACUUUCAGCGGGGAGGAAGGGAGUAAAGUUAAUACCUUUGCUCAUUGACGUUACCCGCAGAAGAAGCACCGGCCAACUCCGUGCCAGCAGCCGCGGUAAUACGGAGGGUGCAAGCGUUAAUCGGAAUUACUGGGCGUAAAGCGCACGCAGGCGGUUUGUUAAGUCAGAUGUGAAAUCCCCGGGCUCAACCUGGGAACUGCAUCUGAUACUGGCAAGCUU
rnacentral:rRNA from 1 species